rnacentral:rRNA from 1 species
GACGAACGCUGGCGGCGUGCUUAACACAUGCAAGUCGAACGGAAAGGCCCUGCUUUUGUGGGGUGCUCGAGUGGCGAACGGGUGAGUAACACGUGAGUAACCUGCCCUUGACUUUGGUAUAACUUCAGGAAACUGGGGCUAAUACCGUAUAGGAUCUCCUGCUGCAUUGUGGGCGUUGGAAAGUUUCGGCGGUUGGGGAUGGACUCGCGGCUUAUCAGCUUGUUGGUUGGGUAGUGGCUUACCAAGGCUUUGACGGGUAGCCGGCACGAGAGGGUGACCGGCCACAUUGGGACUGAGAUACGGCGCAGACUCCUACGGGAGACAGCAGGGGGGAGUAUUGCACAAUGGGCGGAAGCCUGAUGCAGAGACGCCGCGUGCGGGAUGACGGCCUUCGGGUUGUAAACCGCUUCCGCCUGUGACGAAGCGGGAGUGACGGUAAUGGGUAAAGAAGCACCGGCUAACUACGUG